UACGGGGGGGGCGAAGCGUUGUUCGGAAUUACUGGGCGUAAAGCGCGCGCAGGCGGCUAUCCAAGUCAGUGGUGAAAGCCCGGAGCUCAACUCCGGAACUGCCAUUGAAACUGUUUAGCUUGAGGACGAGAGAGGUGAGUGGAAUUCCCAGUGUAGAGGUGAAAUUCGUAGAUAUUGGGAAGAACACCGGUGGCGAAGGCGGCUCACUGGCUCGUAUCUGACGCUCAGGCGCGACAGCGUGGGGGAUCAAACAGG
rnacentral:rRNA from 1 species